rnacentral:rRNA from 1 species
AUUGAACGCUGGCGGCAUGCCUUACACAUGCAAGUCGAACGGCAGCACGGGUGCUUGCACCUGGUGGCGAGCGGCGAACGGGUGAGUAAUACAUCGGAACGUACCUUAUCGUGGGGGAUAACGCAGCGAAAGUUGCGCUAAUACCGCAUACGCCCUGAGGGGGAAAGCGGGGGAGCGUAAGGCCUCGCGCGAUUAGAGCGGCCGAUGGCUGAUUAGCUUGUUGGUGAGGUAAAAGCUCACCAAGGCGAUGAUCAGUAGCUGGUCUGAGAGGACGAUCAGACACACUGGGACUGAGACACGGGCCAGACUCCUACGGGAGGCAGCAGUGGGGAAUUUUGGACAAUGGGGGCAACCCUGAUCCAGCAAUGCCGCGUGAGUGAAGAAGGCCUUCGGGUUGUAAAGCUCUUUUGUCAGGGAAGAAACAGCAGCUCUAACACAGUCUGCGAAUGACGGUACCUGAAGAAUAAGCACCGGCUAACUACGUGCCAGCAGCCGCAGUAA